CCUACGGGUGGCAGCAGUGGGGAAUAUUGGGCAAUGGGGGAAACCCUGAUCCAGCGACGCCGCGUGAGUGAAGAAGUAUUUCGGUAUGUAAAGCUCUAUCAUCAGGGAAGAAAAUGACGGUAACUGACUAAGAAGCCCCGGCUAACUACGAGCCAGCAGCCGCGGUAAUACGUAGGGGGCAAGCGUUAUCCGGAUUGACUGGGUGUAAAGGGAGCGUAGACGGUUAUGUAAGUCUGGAGUGAAGGCCCGGGGCCCAACCCCGGGACUGCUUUGGAGACUGUGUAACUGGAGUACAGGAGGGGCAGGCGGAAUUCCUGGUGUAGCGGUGAAAUGCGUAGAUAUAAGGAGGAACACCAGCGGCGAAGGCGGCCUGCUGGACUGAAACUGACGUUGAGGUGCGAAAGCGUGGGGAGCAAACAGGAUUAGAUACCCGUGUAGUC
rnacentral:rRNA from 1 species